rnacentral:lncRNA from 1 species
GGAAAGCAUUAAAUUAUUAUCUGACUUCAAACAUAUCUGACAGAUUUCCAAAUCCCAUGAUGACUCACGCCACAUAAAGUCACUGCAGAGUCGUCCUGUUUCAGAAAUGGGUAGGAAAUGUUCUCUCCUUCCCACCCAGCUGAUGGGCCACCCUCAUGACUGGGCUCCUCCAUGUACCAGUGCAGACCUUAAAAAGUCCCUUUGGUGUUCACAUAUCAUCACCAGGUAGAGACACCAGCUUCCCUCAUAGCAAAUGGCAGUGGAUAAAAACUGUCACCUGGGCAGGUGGACAGACAGCCUGCUCCUAGGACACAUGCUGCCUCCUAGUAGCUCUGCUUUCUCCACUUGAGGGUUUGAGAACCACAGGUUUCUUUUCAGCUCUGCUAUCAAGGGAAGAUGAAUGAAUGGGCGUGUCAAAUUGAAAGGAUGUGUUGCAAGUUCCACGCCCCCUGUCAUUAAGUGCAGGGCAACAACACACUGUGAUGCUGUUGUAAGGUGAUGUGCGCCUGGCAAGGUGUUCCAUCACACACACGAAGCCACUUUUCAUGCCCAGUAGACCCCUGUGAUGGAUCUCCCCAGUGGGAGCACAUAAAAGAAUCACCUGAAGAACUUCAAACCAGAUUCCAGAGUUCACCCUAGACCUAAGGAAUUAGUCCCUCCUAGGAGAGGACUUGGGUAAUUGUAUUCUUUUUAAAGCUCCCUAGAUAAAUCUGACCCUCAUCUGUGGUUAAAAACAAAUGGCAAAACAAUACAUUCAUGACUCCUACAGGCUGCAGAGGGUAGGUAGUUUUGGAGUUAGAUAUAUAUUCCAAUCCAUACUCCUGAGCUGUAUGGCUGAAACAAUUGCUCACUUUCUGUAAGCCAUAAUUCCUUCAUGUGUAGAAGCACCUACCUCAAAAGAUCAUUGGUAACAAGGUUAAUUGUAUCUAUCUUAUGUGGCUAAGUGAAGAUCACAUGAGUUGUCAUUAUAAAAAGACAGGAUAGCCUGGUGUGGUGCACACACCUACAAUCCCAGCGGCUCUGGAGGCUGAAGCAGGAGGACCACAAAUUCAAAGCCAACCUCAUCAAUGGCGAGGUGCUAAGUAAUUCAGUGAGACCCUGAGUUAGCGAGAUCCUAAGCAACUUAGCAAGACCCUGACUCAAAAUACAAACUAGAAAGGGCUAGGGGGCCGUGCACAGUGGCACACACCUGUAAUCCCAGAAGCUCGGGAUGCUGAGACAGGAGGAUGGCGAAUUCAAAGCCAGCCUCAGCAAAGGCGAGGCACUAAGUAACUCAGUGAGACCAUGUCUCUAAAUACAAAAAGGGCUAGGGGGCUGGGGCUGUAACUCAGUGGUAGAGCACCUGCCUUGCACAUGUAGGCACUGGGUUGGAUCCUCAGCACCACAUAAAAAUAAAUAAAGAUAUUGUGUCCAUCUACAAUUAAAAAGUAUAUUUUUAAAAAGGGUUGGGGAUGUGACUCAGUGGUUAAGCAACAGAAAGUUCAAUUCCUGGUGUCAAAAAAAAAAAAGUCUUAGGAUGCACUAGAUACCUAAGAAAUGUGCACCUAAUAAAAAUAGCUAGCAAACAAUAGCC